GGUAAAGUAAGCUAAAAUGUAAGCUAUCGGGUUCAUACCCCGAAAAUGGGUGGAAGGCCCCUUUAUCA
rnacentral:tRNA from 1 species